CCCUUAGAUGUUCUGGGCCGCACGCGCGCUACACUGAUACAUGCAACGAGUUUAUAACCUUGAUCUGACGGUCUGGGUAAUCUUCAAACUGUAUCGUGUUAGGGAUCGAUUCUUGCAAUUUUUAAUCGUAAACGAGGAAUUCCUAGUAAACGCAAGUCAUCAGCUUGCAUUGAUUACGUCCCUGCCCUUUGUACACACCGCCCGUCGACUCUACCGAUUGAAUGGUUCGGUGAAAACUUUGGACUGUGGCAUUGUCCUUCAUUGGACUCCGCCGUAGGAAAUUGUUUAAACCUCAUCAUUUAGAGGAAGAAUAAGUCGUAACA
rnacentral:rRNA from 1 species